rnacentral:misc_RNA from 1 species
UCCGGUUUGUCACCGGCAGUCUCAUUAAAGUGCCCAACCUAAUGAUGGCAAUUAAUGACAAGGGUUGCGCUCGUUGCGGGACUUAACCCAACAUCUCACGACACGAGCUGACGACAGCCAUGCAGCACCUGUGUGAUGGCUCCCUUGCGGGCACUCGUCCAUCUCUGAACAAUUCCAUCCAUGUCAAGGGUAGGUAAGGUUUUUCGCGUUGCAUCGAAUUAAUCCACAUCAUCCACCGCUUGUGCGGGUCCCCGUCAAUUCCUUUGAGUUUUAAUCUUGCGACCGUACUCCCCAGGCGGUCAACUUCACGCGUUAGCUGCGUUACCAAAACCAAUAUGGCUCCAACAACUAGUUGACAUCGUUUAGGGCGUGGACUAC